rnacentral:tRNA from 1 species
CGGGGCGUAGCGCAGCCUGGUAGCGCAUCUGCUUUGGGAGCAGAGGGCCGCAAGUUCGAAUCUUGCCGCCCCGACCA